AACGAACGCUGGCGGCAUGCCUAACACAUGCAAGUCGAACGAGACCUUCGGGUCUAGUGGCGCACGGGUGCGUAACGCGUGGGAACCUGCCCUUAGGUUCGGAAUAACUCCCCGAAAGGGGUGCUAAUACCGGUUAAUGUCUUCGGACCAAAGAUUUAUCGCCUUUGGAUGGGCCCGCGUUGGAUUAGCUAGUUGGUAGGGUAAAAGCCUACCAAGGCGACGAUCCAUAGCUGGUCUGAGAGGAUGAACAGCCACACUGGGACUGAGACACAGCCCAGACUCCUACGUGAGGCAGCAGUGGGGAAUAUUAGACAAUGGGCGAAAGCCUGAUCCAGCAAUGCCGCGUGAGUGAUGAAGGCCUUAGGGUUGUAAAGCUCUUUUACCCGGGAUGAUAAUGACAGUACCGGGAGAAUAAGCUCCGGCUAACUCCGUG
rnacentral:rRNA from 1 species